GUGCCCCGCGCGCCGCCGGCGCCGUGAGGUGACGUCCCGGACGCCGAUGGGCUGCCCGCCGGAGGGCGGAGCCGGGGCCCGGCCUGAGGCUGAGAUGGGAAGAAGCGGGCCGGUUACAUCUCUUAGCAUCGCUGCUGCUGCUCUUUGCUUUUCUAAAGCGUUACCUUACGUGGGUACUUUGCUCGGGCUGGCUCCCAGCGGCACGGUGAGGCUGUGGUGGGUGACCGGGUGGGGGUUGUCUGUUUCUCACAGCACAAGAUGUGGCAUGAUUGCUUUCUGGCGUCUGCAGUUUGUUGUGAACUACUCUGCAGUCUGCAGCCCAGCCAGAACCGGGAGGGACACCCCACGUUUUGCCUGACGCCUUUUCCUUCCAAGGCUGGAGCUGCCUCAGUCUAGCUGCUGGAACACACCCAGCAUUCCAUGAGCAAGCAACAACAACUACUCUUUUAUUGUAUCCAACUUUUAUUACAUGCAGUUGGGAACAUUUGACAAAUUUUGUUUUUCCUUUAAAAAGCUCUUAUUCUCAAUUAUGAAGGUAACAAGAACAAAUGCAAAAAUAUCCAUCUAUGCUUCAGUUGUUUCUCCCUGGAGAAUGGACAGUUCCCUCAAAAAUCUGCCUUCCAUGUAGUAUUUCACCUAGGCAACCCCCUUAGUGCAGAACUGGGAUACUUUUUCUGACAUCAUGGGAUUACCAGCAAUUACAGAAAGGUAAGUGAUAUAUCAUAGAAUCAUAGAAUGGCCUGGGUUGGAAAGGACCACAGUGAUCAUCUGGUUUCAACCCCCCUGCUACGUGCAGGGUUACCAACCACCAGACCAGGCUGCCCAGAGCCACAUCCAGCCUGGCCUUGAAUGCCUCCAGGGAUGGGGCAUCCACAACCUUCUGGGGCAACCUGUUCCAGUGCGUCACCACCCUCUGUGUGAAAAACUUCCUCCUAAUAUCUAACCUAAACCUCCCCUGUCUCAGUUUUAGACCAUUCCCCCUCAUCCUAUCAUAUCCACCCUUGUAAACAGCUAUUCUCCCUCCUGUUUAUAUGCUCCCUUCAAGUAUUGGAAGGCCACAAUGAGGUCUCCCCAGAGCCUUCUCUUCUCCAAUCUAAGCAAUCUCAGCUCCCUCAGCCUUUUCUCAAAGGAGAGGUGCUCCAGCCCUCUGAUCAUCUUAGUGGCCCUCCUCUGGACCCACUCUAAGAGCUCCACGUCCUUCCUGUACUGGGGGCCCCAGGCCUGGAUGCAGUACUCCAGAUGGGGCCUCACAAGAGCCGAGUAGAGGGGGACAGUCACCUCCCUCUGGUCUUCCUAGGUCUCGAGCUGGAUCAGCUGAUUUCAUAACAGUGAGCAUCACAACUUGGGUAGAAUCACUAGGUUUCCAGUAAUGAAAUUAUCUCCUUUCCAUCUGUUCCAUGCAUACUGCCACCCUUGUGAAUUUGUUCUUUUUCCAAACUCAGACUUACCUAUAGGCUGUUCCAAACCCAGUUAGGCCAUACAACUUCAUUAUGCUAAAAAUAUGUAAGCUAAUAGAUUUCUGGACUAUUUGGAUUUGAAAAAUGAUUGCUAAGAAGGGACUGGGGAUGGAUAACCACCACACCCCUGGGUUUAUACACAAGCAGAAUCACCCUCCUCCCAGACUGAAUGAUCUUAGAGAUGAUGCAUCUCUGAGCAUUCAUUUCAUGCCUGAGUGCUACAGAUGAAAGCUCAAUAUUCUUGGCUUGUACAACUCUUUGGAGUUAUUAUAUUAUUUCUUAAGUCUAAAUAUCUUCAGUUAUAUUGUCAAAAAAAAAAAAAACUCUUUUAAGAAAAUAAAUAGCUUUUUUAACUUUAAAAGUACUGUACAAGUUCUGCAUAUGUUAAGAGAAAGAUUACUGCCCAGAAGACAAAAUGAAAUUAAUAAGCAUAAAGCACAGUGGCUAAGUUGCAAAACAAAUGUAUGUAUGUAGUUUAAUGGCUUAUUUUAUCACAUGUUCAAAUUUACACCUGUAAUAGAAAAAAAUAAAUCUGUUUUAACAGCUUCCUGUGAACUUGAAGUCUUGUUAUGAGUUUCUGGUAUAUAACCAGUGAGUCAAGAUGUUUGUGCAGCUCACAGAGGCUUUCUUCUGUCCUCAAACUGUCCUCAAACUACGUGG
ensembl:lncRNA